rnacentral:RNase_P_RNA from 1 species
GGAGUGGGGGAGGCGAUUGCAGGAGGUAACUCUUGAGGAAAGUCCGGGCUUCUCCAAGACCAGUCUGCUGGGUAACGCCCAGUGCGGGUGACCGUGAGGAUAGUGCCACAGAAACAUACCGCCGAUGGGAGUAAUUCCCAGGUAAGGGUGCAAAGGUGCGGUAAGAGCGCACCAGCAGUAUCGUGAGGUACUGGCUCGGUAAACCCCAGAUGGAAGCAAGGCGAGAGGGAAUCAACUGCGGUCUUCUUGGGUUGAUUUCCGUGACCACUUGGUGGUGUGUGCCGCUAGAGGGAGUUGGUAACAACUCUCCCAGAUAGAUAAUUGCCGCAUCAUAGAAGUUAUGAUGUAACAGAACCCGGCUUAUGACCCACUCCUGAU